AUACCUAGCUCGGCCUUUUGGCUAAGAUCAAGUAUAGUAUCUGUUUUUAUCAAUUAAUAUCUGAAAUAUGAGUCAUUUGCUUACACGAUAUUAAAUUUAUUUUUUUUUUGAGGAGAAGACCCAUCAAAGUAGAGCUUGCUACUUGAGUCCAAUCUUUUACUUUGUAUGCAUUGGUAAGUAUUGGGGCAUUACUA